UACGUAGGGGGCGAGCGUUGUCCGGAAUUACUGGGCGUAAAGGGAGCGUAGGCGGCCAAAUAAGUCAGAUGUGAAAUACCCGGGCUUAACUUGGGGGGUGCAUCUGAAACUGUUUGGCUUGAGUGCGGAAGAGGCAAGUGGAAUUCCUAGUGUAGCGGUGAAAUGCGUAGAUAUUAGGAGGAACACCAGUGGCGAAGGCGGCUUGCUGGGACGUAACUGACGCUGAGGCU
rnacentral:rRNA from 1 species